GUCUGCUCUCUUUGGAGUUGAAAGGGAACCAGAAAAGAAGGGGUUCAGGGGAUCUUGUUGGAGCAGGAAAGGCUAGAUUUAGGUUCCAAGAAGGUGCCUAUGGGGGGCAGUGGACAUUUGUAGCUCUCCCAGGGGCUGGUUGGUGGCAGAAAUCUGUUAAUGAUGACCUAGCAAAAGAGGAAAUUAGGUCAAGGGUCUCACAGAACCUGAGGGUGCCAGGAGGAUGAGAACGGGCACCAGGAACCUUGUGGGAACAAAGUUGGGCUGGGUCACUGCCUCAGUCCUCCUCACCCGGGCUCUCUGGCCCCCUGUCUUUGCUUUACGUCUGCAGGCCUGGCCUCCCAGUUUGCUCUUGGCCUCAAAUGAUCUUUCCCCACGUGGAAACCACAGACCCUAAGACUUGUGACCUUCCAGAUAUAACACACAAAGCCGGCUCACCAGGGACUCUGUGACUGAGCUCCAUAUUCUAGGGAGAGAGAGUGAGCAGCCCAGCCUGGCCAGGGAUUCGUCCCCUGUCCAGUGGGCAGUUCCACAAGAGCAAUGUGGGGGCCCUCCAUUUCUGCAGAGUUGGGGUGAGAGGCAAUUCUUGCAUUCCAGAGAGGUAAACUACAGAAACAAGGGAGCUACGCGGCCAGGAGGUUGGGCAGAACCAGGAGUGGAGGAUGGGGGCUGCAGAAACCUCCUGAAGCUGGGCUCCAGAUUCUCCAUGUGAGGGUUCACGUGGAGCAGUUGGAGCAGUGGUCCUCAACCAUGGCUGCAUGUUGGAAUCACUUGGGAGAUGUAAAACCUACUGAUGUUUGGGUCCCACCCUAGAGAUGCUGAUAAACCCAGGGGAAGUUACCUGACAUAUCUGUGAGGACACUCAAGCAGCCUUAUGGAGAGGCCAUGUGGCGAAGGUCUGAGGCCUCCUGUCAACAGCUUGGUGAGGGCGCCAUCUUGGAAACAGAUCCUCCAGCUCCAGGCAAGCCCUCAGAUGACUGUAGUCCUGACUGACAUCUUGAUUGCAAACUCAUGGGAAUCCCUGAGCCAGAACCAUCCAACUCAGUCACGCCUUAACUCCUGAUCCACAGAACUGGCGAGA